rnacentral:tRNA from 1 species
UACUUUCAAAGGGCAUCAGCAGCCCACUAAUUUUAGGAAUUACUUAUCCU